GAUGAACGCUGGCGGCGUGCCUAAUACAUGCAAGUCGAGCGAACGGACGAGAAGCUUGCUUCUCUGAUGUUAGCGGCGGACGGGUGAGUAACACGUGGAUAACCUACCUAUAAGACUGGGAUAACUUCGGGAAACCGGCGCUAAUACCGGAUGAUAUUUUGAACCGCAUGGUUCAAAAGUGAAAGACGGUGUUGCUGUCACUUAUAGCUGGAUCCGCGCUGCAUUAUCUAGUUGGGAAGGUAACGGCUUACCAAGGCAACGAUGCAUAGCCGACCUGAGAGGGUGAUCGGCCACACUGGAGCUGAGACACGGUCCAGACUCCUACGGGAGGCAGCAGUAGGGAAUCUUCCGCAAUGGGCGAAAGCCUGACGGAGCAACGCCGCGUGAGUGGUGAAGGUCUUCGGAUCGUAAAACUCUGUUAUUAGGGAAGAACAUAUGUGUAAGUAACUGUGCACAUCUUGACGGUACCUAAUCAGAAAGCCACGGCUAACUACGUG
rnacentral:rRNA from 1 species